GCAAGUUUUAGGGAAGAAACGCCUGUAGUGAGUAAUCAGAAAAGAAGGGUGAAAGCCAAGAGCCUUUGACUUCCCCAGUGCACUUAAUUUUCUUGUUCUCCUCUCUUUCAGGACAGGGAAAAUCAUUGACUUGGGUCCAGCAAUGCCAUAUGUGUUGGGGUGUGAGCAGCCAAAGCAAAAGGCUCCAGCCCCACCGACCAGUGCUGGGUGCACCUGGUGCUGCCCGUGGGGUGGGUUUGGCAGGGCUGGGACAAGGAGGACUCGUGCGGGCACCUCCAGAGACAGCGGGAACGGGAGCGUGCUGCGGAGAAGGAAAGUUCCAGGGGAAUUGCCACGAGAGGAAAUACUUCAGAGGGGCUUCCCUCCGGAUAAGCCCUGAAUGUGCCAGGAGGUUUCAGCCGGGAGAAAGGAGCUGUGGAAGAAAAGCAGCCUAAAAAUAGCCAGUGGGGAUCAUCAGGUUUUCCAGGCAAGAAGAACAAGGAGAGAGAUGAGGGAAUCGGGUUCCAAUUCCUAAUGAUUUGGUGGGUGCAGGAAUGAUUUGUGUGUGUUUUCCAGUCCCUUUUGAUUCCUGAGAUGAUUUUAAAAUGAUGGCUUUAGCAAUCAACUAAAUCGGAGGUGUUGUUUUUGAGAGGAAAUGAUGCCAAAUAAAUGCAGAGUUUUGGGUCAGUU